rnacentral:rRNA from 1 species
CCUCCGGUCUGAACUCAAAUCGUGUAAACUAGGAAAGUCGAACGGACUAUAAUAAUAUAGACUUCUGCAUCUCUAAAUAAUUUGAUCCAACAUCGAGGUUGCAAACAUUUCAAUCGAAAAGAAAUUAUUAAAACAAUUACGCUGUUAUCCCCUAAGUAACUUGUUUUAAUAAUCUUUUUGAAGGAUCAUAUAAGAAUUCAGUUGUUAUUUCAAUUUUCUUUGAAAUGAAGAUUAAGUUUUCAUAAACCGCCCCAGUCAAAUUCCCCACUCCAUAUAUAUGGAGUGGGGAAUAAAGAUUUAAGGGGUCUUCUCGUCCUUUUAUUUAUUUCUUCUUUUUCAAAGAAAAAUUAAUUUCAAUUUUUGAAAUUGAGACAAUAUUAAGCUCAUUAACCCUGUCAUUCCAUUUUACAAUUAAUAAACUAAUUAUUAUGCUACCUUUGCAA